AGUGAACGCUGGCGGUAGGCCUAACACAUGCAAGUCGAACGGCGGCACAGUAAGAGCUUGCUCUUACGGGUGGCGAGUGGCGGACGGGUGAGGAAUACAUCGGAAUCUACUUUUUCGUGGGGGAUAACGUAGGGAAACUUACGCUAAUACCGCAUACGACCUACGGGUGAAAGCAGGGGAUCUUCGGACCUUGCGCGAUUGAAUGAGCUGAUGUCGGAUUAGCUAGUUGGCGGGGUAAAGGCCCACCAAGGCGACGAUCCGUAGCUGGUCUGAGAGGAUGAUCAGCCACACUGGAACUGAGACACGGUCCAGACUCCUACGGGAGGCAGCAGUGGGGAAUAUUGGACAAUGGGCGCAAGCCUGAUCCAGCCAUACCGCGUGGGUGAAGAAGGCCUUCGGGUUGUAAAGCCCUUUUGUUGGGAAAGAAAAGCAGCAGGUUAAUACCCCGCUGUUCUGACGGUACCCAAAGAAUAAGCACCGGCUAACUUCGUG
rnacentral:rRNA from 1 species